UACGGAGGGUGCGAGCGUUGUCCGGAAUCAUUGGGCGUAAAGGGCGCGUAGGUGGCUCGCCAAGCGGGCGGUGAAAGCCUGGGGCUCAACCCCGGGUCGGCCGUGCGAACUGGCGAGCUGGAGCACUGUAGAGGCAGGCGGAAUUCCGGGUGUAGCGGUGAAAUGCGUAGAUAUCGGAAGGAACACCUGUGGCGAAAGCGGCUCACUGGACCACAACUGACGCUGAGGCACGAAAGCUAGGGGAGCAAACAGG
rnacentral:rRNA from 1 species